GACAGAGGGUGCAAACGUUGCUCGGAAUCACUGGGCGUAAAGGGUGCGUAGGCGGGUUUUUAAGUCAGGGGUGAAAUCCUGGAGCUCAACUCCAGAACUGCCUUUGAUACUGAAGAUCUUGAGUCCGGGAGAGGUGAGUGGAACUGCGAGUGUAGAGGUGAAAUUCGUAGAUAUUCGCAAGAACACCAGUGGCGAAGGCGGCUCACUGGCCCAUUACUGACGCUGAGGCACGAAAGCGUGGGGAGCAAACAGG
rnacentral:rRNA from 1 species